rnacentral:rRNA from 1 species
GUGUCAGCCGCCGCGGUAAUACGUAGGGUGCGAGCGUUAAUCGGAAUUACUGGGCGUAAAGGGUGCGCAGGCGGUUGCGCAAGUCAGGCGUGAAAUCCCCGGGCUUAACCUGGGAAUGGCGCUUGAAACUACGUGACUCGAGUAUGGCAGAGGGAGGUGGAAUUCCACGUGUAGCGGUGAAAUGCGUAGAGAUGUGGAGGAACACCGAUGGCGAAGGCAGCCUCCUGGGCCAAUACUGACGCUCAUGCACGAAAGCGUGGGGAGCAAACAGGAUUAGAUACCCUGGUAGUCC